rnacentral:misc_RNA from 1 species
UCGCGGUUUGCACCGGCAGUCUGAUUAGAGUGCCCAUCUUUACAUGCUGGUAACUAAUCACAGGGGUUGCGCUCGUUAUAGGACUUAACCUGACACCUCACGGCACGAGCUGACGACAACCAUGCAGCACCUUGUGAAUUGUCCGAAGAAAUACUUGUUUCCAAAUACGUCAAUCCACAUUUAAGCCUUGGUAAGGUUCCUCGCGUAUCAUCGAAUUAAACCACAUGCUCCACCGCUUGUGCGGGCCCCCGUCAAUUCCUUUGAGUUUCAUUCUUGCGAACGUACUCCCCAGGUGGGAUACUUAUCACUUUCGCUUAACCACUGAUCCCUAAAGACCAACAGCUAGUAUCCAUCGUUUACGGCGUGGACUAC